CCCUGAUGUGCGAGUAUUUAAAAAGGUCACUCUCCCUGUACAUGUACAAAGAGAAACUGUUUGCAGGAUUAACCUGAAGCCUCUGUAUUUGUUUCAGGCAAAAGCAAUGGGCAUGUUAAUCAAAGAACCUGUGCAUAUAAAAUUGUAAACCAAUGCGUGUAUUCCAAGAGAGCCGGAGCUGUUUAGGAAGGCAGCUGAGGCGAGGCUCCACGUGAUGGGGUUAGAGGGGUCUGAGUGGGUGCAGAAGACAAACUUAGACCCCUGCAGUGUGUCGGUCUCUCCGGGGCCAGGGUGGCCGGACUAGUGCAGGGCAGGGGCCCCGGAGAAGAGGAGCCGAUGUGGGAGAUGGAGGGUGCAGAUGGCUAGGCCGUCAGAGCCUAGCUGGAUCGGAAGGUGAGGGAGAGGGUACUGGGCGGACUCCAGCGUGAGCACUGGCACAGUGGAAGGAUUUCCCGGAGGCAGAGGAAGCGGCAGGAGGAACGACUAGGGCCUGAGGCCUAGCGCAGGAGCCUUUGCCAUCGUAGUGAGUCUGGCUUCUUCCCCUUCCUGCUCUGCAGGCAACAGCCGGCCACUCCCUGUGGACCUGGCGAAUGAGACACAGCGGAUGCAGAGUCGGCAAGGAAAAGACCAGCCCCUGAGAGCCCCGUGGGAGGAGGAGCAGCCCAAACCCAGUGUGGGCGGUAUUGAUGCCUGCCUUGGCUUACUCCAGCCAAGAUGGAAGGUGACUUCCAAGAAUACAGAAGCAGCCAACAAGAAAGCAAAAGGGAGAGGGAAGAGGAAGAAAGCAAAUCAAGGUGCAGACAUGAAGUUAGCCCAAGAGAUGCAGUUUCUGCAAAGCUGCUGUGUGCAGACCGGCAGUCCUGGAGCACCGUGGUGAGUACCGCUCGUUAUCUGAUCCGCCGGCAUCUGGGGAGGGUUGGGGGUGUAGUUCCAUGGCAGCAGACUCAGUAUCUUUUGUACAAAUAUAUAUCAACAUAUUAGCGGGACAAGGUUUAAAGACGGGCUAACCUCUGAUGUUUCUGUGGUGCUGGGGAUCGAACCUGGAGCCUCAUGCAUCCUAAGCCCAGGCUGUACCACUGAGCUACAUCCAGCUGCCAAAUGCAAUCCUCAGAUCCUACUUAAAAAGCAGUAAUUUUUCCAGGUGCUCGUUGGGAGAGGCUCACAGGGUUUUCAGCAAGUUUGUUCCUAUUCC
rnacentral:lncRNA from 1 species